rnacentral:rRNA from 1 species
CCUACGGUAGGCUGCAGUGGGGAAUAUUGGACAAUGGGCGAAAGCCUGAUCCAGCCAUGCCGCGUGUGUGAAGAAGGCCUUCGGGUUGUAAAGCACUUUCAGUGGGGAAGAAAGCCUUGGGGCUAAUACCCUCGAGGAAGGACAUCACCCACAGAAGAAGCACCGGCUAACUCCGUGCCAGCAGCCGCGGUAAUACGGAGGGUGCGAGCGUUAAUCGGAAUUACUGGGCGUAAAGCGCGCGUAGGCGGUCUGAUAAGCCGGUUGUGAAAGCCCCGGGCUCAACCUGGGAACGGCAUCCGGAACUGUCAGGCUAGAGUGCAGGAGAGGAAGGUAGAAUUCCCGGUGUAGCGGUGAAAUGCGUAGAGAUCGGGAGGAAUACCAGUGGCGAAGGCGGCCUUCUGGACUGACACUGACGCUGAGGUGCGAAAGCGUGGGUAGCAAACAGGAUUAGAUACCCGUGUAGUC